UUAAGUUCAGCGGGUAGUCCUACCUGAUUUGAGGUCAGAAUAUAAAAGUUUGAAUUAGAGUGGAGGGUUGCGAAGACUUAUUACGCAUUCCACUUAGACAUUUAAGGCGAGCCAGAGUAAACGGCAGACGCCCAAAGCACCAGUCCACAUGUCUAAUGAAAAACAGUAGAGGUGAGGUUUAUAUGACACUCAAACAGGCA
rnacentral:misc_RNA from 1 species